rnacentral:rRNA from 1 species
UCCCUUAUCUUUUAUUUGAUGGUACCUCUACCCGGAUAACCGUAGUAAAUCUAGGGCUAAUACGUGCGCAAAUCCCGACUUCUGGAACGGACGUAUUUAUUAGAUAAAAGGCCGACCGGCCUCUGCCCGAACCACGAUGAGCCAUGAUCACUUCCCAACUCGAAUAACCUUGUGCUGGCGAUGUUUCAUUCCAAUUUCUGCCCUAUCUGCUUUCUGUGGCAGGAUAGAGGCCUAGCAGGGCGGAAACGGGUGACGGAGGAUUAGGGUUCGAUUCCGGAGAGGGAGCCUGAUAAACCGCUACCACUCCCUCGGAAAGCUCCGCGCGCGCAAAUUACCCAACCCUGAUACGGGGAGGUAGUGACAAUAAAUAACAUUACCGGGCAUUCAUGGUCUGGUAAUUGGAAUGAGUACAAUCUACAUCCCUUAACGAGGAUCCAUUGGAGGGCAAGUCUGGUGCUGCAGCCGCGGUAAUUCCUGCUCCUGAGCGUAUAUUUAAUGUGUUGCAGUUAAAAACCUCGUACUUGGAUUUCGGUGGGGUUCCUCCGGUCCGCCUAUGGUGAGUACUGCUUGUGGCCCUCCUUUCUGUCGAACACAGUCUCUUGGACUUCUCUGACCGGGAAUCAGAAUCCACCAUGAUACUUUGAGUAAAUCACAGUGUUCCAUCCAUGACUACUCACAGAAUACUUUAGUCUGGAAUACCUCGAUCCGACUC